rnacentral:rRNA from 1 species
ACGCUAGCGGCAGGCCUAAUACAUGCAAGUCGAACGAUACUCUUUAGCUUGCUAAGGAGGAAAGUGGCGCACGGGUGCGUAACGCGUAUGCAACCUACCUUAAUCAGGGGGAUAGCCCGAAGAAAUUCGGAUUAACACCGCAUAAAAUCACAGUACAGCAUUGUACAAUGAUCAAAUAUUUAUAGGAUUAAGAUGGGCAUGCGUGACAUUAGUUAGUUGGCGGGGUAACGGCCCACCAAGACCACGAUGUCUAGGGGAUCUGAGAGGAUGACCCCCCACACUGGUACUGAGACACGGACCAGACUCCUACGGGAGGCAGCAGUAAGGAAUAUUGGUCAAUGGAGGCAACUCUGAACCAGCCAUGCCGCGUGCAGGAAGACAGCCCUCUGGGUCGUAAACUGCUUUUAUUCGGGAAUAAACCUACUUACGUGUAAGUAGCUGAAUGUACCGAAGGAAUAAGGAUCGGCUAACUCCGUGCCAGCAGCCGCGGUAAUACGGAGGAUCCAAGCGUUAUCCGGAUUUAUUGGGUUUAAGGGUGCGUAGGCGGCUUUUUAAGUCAGGGGUGAAAGACGGUGGCUCAACCAUCGCAGUGCCCUUGAUACUGAAGAGCUUGAAUGAAUUAGAGGUAGGCGGAAAUGUGACAAGUAGCGGUGAAAUGCAUAGAUAUGUCACAGAACACCGAUUGCGAAGGCAGCUUACUAUGAUUUUAUUGACGCUGAGGCACGAAAGCGUGGGGAUCAAAC